GGAGCUGUGGCGCAGCAGGUUAACGCCCUGGCCUGAAGCGCCUGCAUCCCAUAAGGGCGCAGGUUCAAGACCCGGCUGCUCCA
rfam:Oryctolagus cuniculus chromosome 15, whole genome shotgun sequence.